rnacentral:rRNA from 1 species
UACGUAGGGGCCUAGCGUUGUCCGGAAUUAUUGGGCGUAAAGAGCUCGUAGGCGGUUCGGCAAGUCGGAUGUGAAAUCUCCACGCUUAACGUGGAGGGGCCAUUCGAAACUGCUGUGACUCGAGUCCGGUAGGGGAGUGUGGAAUUCCCGGUGUAGCGGUGAAAUGCGCAGAUAUCAGGAGGAACACCGGUGGCGAAGGCGGCUACCUGGACAGAAACUGACGCUGAGGCGCGAAAGCUAGGGGAGCAAACAGG